UACGAAGGGGGCUAGCGUUGCUCGGAAUCACUGGGCGUAAAGCGCACGUAGGCGGCUUUUUAAGUCAGGGGUGAAAUCCUGGAGCUCAACUCCAGAACUGCCUUUGAUACUGAGGAUCUUGAGUACGGGAGAGGGAAGCGGAAUUCCCGGUGUAGUGGUGAAAUGCGUAGAUAUCGGGAGGAACACCAGUGGCGAAGGCGGCUUCCUGGCCUGUUCUUGACGCUGAGGCGCGAAAGCUAGGGUAGCAAACGGG
rnacentral:rRNA from 1 species